AUGCUGGAUCGGCUCCUCGGCUGCGUGGGCGGCGAGGCUCCGACAGAAGUUUCCUGUGGCCCGGGGUCGCGUCGUCGGCCUCCGGUGCCUGGAUCUGAAGUAUGGCGCCCCAUCCACCUCCUCUGGCCUCUGCCCCCGCCAGAUCCACCUGCUGGUGACCCCGGUCACCGUCCGGCCGCCGGCCGGGCGGGGUGGUGCGAGUUCCUGACCGGGAGAAAUCCCUGGGUCGUCCCGGACGGCCUGCCAGUGGCAAUGUCCGCGGACGUCGCGCCCCUCCCUGGAGGCAUCGACAAGGUCUGUUCUCCCCAUCCCCUCCCCUCGGUUCCCGGAUGA
rnacentral:rRNA from 1 species